rnacentral:rRNA from 1 species
GGGAUUGCCCUAGUAACGGCGAGUGAAGCGGCAACAGCUCAAAUUUGAAAUCUGGCCUCCCUUGGGGGUCCGAGUUGUAAUUUGCAGAGGGUGCUUUGGCGUCGGCAGCGGUCUAAGUUCCUUGGAACAGGACAUCACAGAGGGUGAGAAUCCCGUACGUGGUCGCCUGCCUUCGCCGUGUAAAGCCCCUUCGACGAGUCGAGUUGUUUGGGAAUGCAGCUCUAAAUGGGAGGUAAAUUUCUUCUAAAGCUAAAUACCGGCCAGAGACCGAUAGCGCACAAGUAGAGUGAUCGAAAGAUGAAAAGCACUUUGGAAAGAGAGUCAAACAGCACGUGAAAUUGUUGAAAGGGAAGCGCUUGCAGCCAGACUUGCUCGUAGUUGCUCAUCCGGGUCCGCCCGGAGCACUCUUCUGCGAGCAGGCCAGCAUCAGUUUGGGCGACCGGAUAAAGGCCUCUGUCAUGUACCUUCCCUCGGGAAGGCCUUAUAGGGGAGGCGUAAUGCGGCCAGCCCGGACUGAGGUCCGCGCAUCUGCUAGGAUGCUGGCGUAAUGGCUGUAAGCGGCCCGUCUUGAAACACGGACCAAGGAGUCUAACAUCUAUGCGAGUGUUUGGGUGUCAAGCCCGGGCGCGUAAUGAAAGUGAACGGAGGUGGGAACCCUCUCCGGGGGGUGCACCAUCGACCGAUCCUGAUGUCUUCGGAUGGAUUUGAGUAAGAGCAUAGCUGUUGGGACCCGAAAGAUGGUGAACUAUGCUUGAAUAGGGUGAAGCCAGAGGAAACUCUGGUGGAGGCUCGCAGCGGUUCUGACGUGCAAAUCGAUCGUCAAAUUUGGGCAUAGGGGCG